AUUCUUGAUGACGAUGAUCUGGUGGCCUACAUCCUCAAUGGACUGGACGACGAUUAUGACCCUGUCGUCUCGGCUUUGGUUGCAAAAACCGAGCCGAUCUCAAUUCUGGAAGUGUAUGCACAACUCCUGAACUUUGAGA
rnacentral:snoRNA from 1 species